rnacentral:rRNA from 1 species
CAGGAUGAACGCUAGCGACAGGCCUAACACAUGCAAGUCGAGGGGCAGCAUUUCUAGCUUGCUAGAAGAUGGCGACCGGCGCACGGGUGAGUAACGCGUAUGCAACCUGCCUUAUACUGGGGGAUAGCCCAAAGAAAUUUGGAUUAAUACCGCAUAAUAUAUUUGAAUCGCAUGGUUUAAGUAUUAAAACUCCGGUGGUAUAAGAUGGGCAUGCGUAGCAUUAGUUAGUUGGUGAGGUAAUGGCUCACCAAGACAAUGAUGCUUAGGGGGUCUGAGAGGAUAGUCCCCCACACUGGUACUGAGACACGGACCAGACUCCUACGGGAGGCAGCAGUGAGGAAUAUUGGUCAAUGGACGCAAGUCUGAACCAGCCAUGUCGCGUGCAGGAUGACUGCCCUAUGGGUUGUAAACUGCUUUUUUACAGGAAUAAUAGUCACUACGUGUAGUGGUAUGAAUGUACUGUAUGAAUAAGGAUCGGCUAACUCCGUGCCAGCAGCCGC